rnacentral:rRNA from 1 species
UACGGGGGGGGCAAGCGUUGUCCGGAAUUAUUGGGCGUAAAGAGCUCGUAGGCGGCUUGUCGCGUCGACUGUGAAAACCCGGGGCUCAACUCCGGGCCUGCAGUCGAUACGGGCUGGCUUGAGUGCGGUAGGGGAGACUGGAAUUCCUGGUGUAGCGGUGAAAUGCGCAGAUAUCAGGAGGAACACCGGUGGCGAAGGCGGGUCUCUGGGCCGUAACUGACGCUGAGGAGCGAAAGCGUGGGGAGCGAACAGG